rnacentral:rRNA from 1 species
CGACCGGCAGACGGGUGAGUAACGCGUAUGUAACCUACCCUGUACAGGGGGAUAACCCGGAGAAAUUCGGACUAAUAUCCCAUAAUAUUAUGAGAGGGCAUCUGAUUAUAAUUAAAGUUCCGGCGGUACGGGAUGGGCAUGCGUAACAUUAGCUAGUUGGUAGGGUAACGGCCUACCAAGGCAUUGAUGUUUAGGGGUCCUGAGAGGGUGGUCCCCCACACUGGUACUGAGACACGGACCAGACUCCUACGGGAGGCAGCAGUGAGGAAUAUUGGUCAAUGGGCGCAAGCCUGAACCAGCCAUCCCGCGUGCAGGAAGACGGCCCUAUGGGUUGUAAACUGCUUUUCCAGAAGGCGAAACGCUCUGACGUGUCUGGGUUUGACGGUAUUUUGGGAAUAAGCAUCGGCUAACUCCGUGCCAGCAGCCGCGGUAAUACGGAGGAUGCGAGCGUUAUCCGGAUUCAUUGGGUUUAAAGGGUGCGUAGGCGGACUAUUAAGUCAGUGGUGAAAUCCUCCCGCUUAACGGGAGAACUGCCAUUGAUACUGAUAGCCUUGAGUUUGGUUAAGGUAGGCGGAAUGUGUAAUGUAGCGGUGAAAUGCUUAGAUAUUACACAGAACACCGAUUGCGAAGGCAGCUUACUGGACCGACACUGACGCUGAGGCACGAAAGCGUGGGGAUCGAACAGGAUUAGAUACCCUGGUAGUCCACGCCGUAAACGAUGAUUACUCGCUGUUGGCGAUACACAGUCAGCGGCUAAGCAAAAGCAAUAAGUAAUCCACCUGGGGAGUACGGCCGCAAGGUUGAAACUCAAAGGAAUUGACGGGGGCCCGCACAAGCGGAGGAACAUGUGGUUUAAUUCGAUGAUACGCGAGGAACCUUACCUGGGCUUAA